CGGUGUCUGUCAUGUCUGCGCAGUAGGCUUCCACAUUCACUCGUCACUCGCAGAAUCACGCAGAGCAACUUCCAGUCCUGCAUGUUUCAUUCAUGGAGCAGACACUGAAAUUGUCAUGAGAGCAGAAUACUUUAAGACAGAGGUGCUACACAUUUGGAUUUUGGACUGAAAAGACUACUAAAGGCAAUGGGGCUUUAAAGAACCUCUGCUAUCAAGAAGAGAGUUGGCUCUGAAGUCCUUUGCACAGGUUGGGGAAUUUAUUUCCCUUUGUUGUAAAGGGAAAAGCAAGAUGUUGAUCACCACGCCUGUGACUAAGUUCCUGAUAAAUCACACGCCGUUGAGUAAGA